UUUUCUUUAGUAUAAUUAGUAUAUUUAACUUCCAAUUAAAAGGUUUAAACUUAAAGAAAAA
rnacentral:tRNA from 1 species